GCAUAUCAAUAAGCGGAGGAAAAGAAAAUAACAAGGAUUCCCCUAGUAACGGCGAGCGAAGCGGGAAGAGCUCAAAUUUGAAAGCUGGCACCUCCGGUGUCCGCGUUGUAAUCUCGAGACGUGUUUUCCGUGCGGCUCUAUGGACAAGUCCCUUGGAAUAGGGCAUCGUAGAGGGUGAGAAUCCCGUACUUGCCAUGGAAGAACCGUGCUUUGCGAUACACGCUCUAAGAGUCGAGUUGUUUGGGAUUGCAGCUCAAAAUGGGUGGUAGACUCCAUCUAAAGCUAAAUAUCGGGGAGAGACCGAUAGCGAACAAGUACCGUGAGGGAAAGAUGAAAAGCACUUUGGAAAGAGAGUUAAAAGUACGUGAAAUUGUCGAAAGGGAAGCACUUGAAGUCAGCCAUGCUGCUUGAGACUCAGCCUGGCCUUUGGGCUUGGUGUAUUUCUCGGUGGCAAGCCAGCAUUGGUUUGGGUCGUCGGAGAAGCGCAUAGGGAAUGUAGCGUCUCCGGACGUGUUAUAGCCUUAUGCAGGAUACGACGACCUGGAUCAAGGAACGCAGUGUGCCCUCUGGGCGGGUCUUCGGACACCUUCACACUUAGGAUGCUGGCGUAGUGGUUUUAUGUGGCCCGUCUUGAAACACGGACC
rnacentral:rRNA from 1 species